AAGAGGAGGAGGAGGAGGAGGAGGAAGAGGAGGAGGUGUCUCGAUGAGUCUCCGGUAGAAGACCCGUUAACGUCCAGGGACCAUGAGGAGAGUCACGCUGUUCGUUAACGGAAGCUCCACUGACGGGAAGGUGGUUCCGGUGUUCGGGUCCCUGGAGGAGCUCCUGACCGCGGCCAGCUCCAAGCUGCGGGUUCGAGCCUCCGGUGUUUACAACGGCAGCGGCGGCCUCAUCGAUGACGUCACCCUGAUCAGAGAUGAGGACGUGUUGUACAUAUCAGAGGCAGAUUCACCUGAAG